rnacentral:rRNA from 1 species
GGGGAAUCUUCCGCAAUGGACGAAAGUCUGACGGAGCAACGCCGCGUGAGUGAAGAAGGUCUUCGGAUUGUAAAGCUCUGUCGUUUGGGACGAACGUGGAUUGUGUGAAUAAUGCAGUCUAAUGACGGUACCAAAGGAGGAAGCCACGGCUAACUACGUGCCAGCAGCCGCGGUAAUACGUAGGUGGCAAGCGUUGUCCGGAAUUAUUGGGCGUAAAGGGCGUGUAGGUGGAUUCUUAAGUCGUGUGUCUAAGUGCGGUGCUCAACACCGUAUGGGCGCAGGAAACUGGGAAUCUUGAGUGCAGGAGAGGAAAGUGGAAUUCCCAGUGUAGCGGUGAAAUGCGUAGAUAUUGGGAGGAACACCAGUGGCGAAGGCGACUUUCUGGACUGUGUCUGACACUGAGGCGCGAAAGCCAGGGGAGCGAAC